GGGCUCUUAGCUCAGCCGGUCAGAGCGCAUCCUUCACAUGGAUGAGGUCGGUGGUUCGAGUCCACCAGAGCCCACCA
rnacentral:tRNA from 1 species